CCUACGGGAGGCAGCAGUGGGGAAUUUUGGACAAUGGGCGCAAGCCUGAUCCAGCAAUGCCGCGUGAGUGAAGAAGGCCUUCGGGUUGUAAAGCUCUUUUGUCAGGGAAGAGACGGUGGGAGCUAAUAUCUCCUACUAAUGACGGUACCUGAAGAAUAAGCACCGGCUAACUACGUGCCAGCAGCCGCGGUAAUACGUAGGGUGCAAGCGUUAAUCGGAAUUACUGGGCGUAAAGCGUGCGCAGGCGGUUUUGUAAGUCUGUCGUGAAAGCCCCGGGCUCAACCUGGGAAUUGCGAUGGAGACUGCAAGGCUUGAAUCUGGCAGAGGGGGGUUAGAAUUCCACGUGUAGCAGUGAAAUGCGUAGAGAUGUGGAGGAACACCGAUGGCGAAGGCAGCCCCCUGGGUCAAGNUGACG
rnacentral:rRNA from 1 species